AGAGUUGAUCCUGGUCAGGAUGAACGCUAGCUACAGGCUUAACACAUGCAAGUCGAGGGGCAGCAGUUGGGGUAGCAAUACUCAGAUGGCGACCGGCGCACGGGUGAGUAACACGUAUCCAACCUGCCGCUUACUCGGGGAUAGCCUUUCGAAAGAAAGAUUAAUACCCGAUGGUAUAAAGAGUUCGCAUGUUCUCUUUAUUAAAGAAUUUCGGUAAGCGAUGGGAUGCGUUCCAUUAGAUAGUUGGCGGGGUAACGGCCCACCAAGUCUACGAUGGAUAGGGGUUCUGAGAGGAAGGUCCCCCACAUUGGAACUGAGACACGGUCCAAACUCCUACGGGAGGCAGCAGUGAGGAAUAUUGGUCAAUGGACGAGAGUCUGAACCAGCCAAAGUAGCGUGAAGGAUGACUGCCCUAUGGGUUGUAAACUUUCUUUUAUAAGGGAAUAAAGUGAGGGACGUGUCCCUUUUUGUAUGUACCUUAUGAAUAAGGAUCGGCUAACUCCGUGCCAGCCGCCGC
rnacentral:rRNA from 1 species